UUUUAAUAUUAUUCUUUUAAAGAUUAGUUAUGGUUUUAAGAAAACAAAUAUACACAAAACAUAGCAAAAAUACAUUCAUAGGUUAUUCACUUGUGAUUGAUGUUUAAUGAUUAAUCCUUUGAUCAGAUGACACCGAUUAAUGUUUGAUUUGGGAUUAGUAAAUAGAUAAUUUAGACUUGAGCUAAAUUAUAUUUACAAAUUCCCAAAUCAUCAUUACAUCAACUCUAAAUAAACAUCUUCAACUGAGCAAGAAAAACAUUAGGCUUUUUAAAACUAAUUUCAAAUUAGUUACUGUUUUGGGAAAUACAAAAAAGCUAAGCAAGGAUAAGAAAUAUUUAAUUAUUAAAUGAUUAAUCAUUUUGAUGAUUAAUGUUUGAUUUGGGAGUAUAGUAAAUAGAUAAUUUAGACGAAGUGACUAAAUGAUAUUUACAUAUUCCCAAUAUCAGCAUUACAUCAAUUCUGAGUGUAAACAUCCCAAACUGAGCAUUUUAAAACUAAAAAAUGAUAAGACAUUAGCUAAAAUAACUCAAAAGCUGAAGCCUUGCUCAGUUGGAUCAAGGUUCAAAUAGAUGAAAGUCCAUUAAUUAUAGACCUGCAUCAAAUCGUAUCGAGCGCAUUGCAAAAAUCUUCCUUCAGCCACUUAUGCUGAGCGCUGCGGAAAAAAGAAGAUGAUCAAAAGAAAAGCUGAAGAAGGAAGAUAACAGAGUAACAGGAGGGAAUCAAGAUCAGAUCAUUCACAGGAGAAAGACGCCGUUGAUGCACUAGGUAAUGUAUCAUGAACAGUGUAUGCCUAGAGUAUUCAUAGUGUUGGCCUAGAGUUAAGACUACCCCCCCCCCCCCUUCUUUCAGAAGGUUUCCUGACGGGUAAUGUAUAAUGUGUAGCUGGUGUAACUUUAGUCUUGAUGAUGAAGACGCUUCCCUCGACGUCCCUGAUGAGUGACUGGAUGCCACUGGAUGCAACUGAAGACAGAUGUUUGCAGCAAAGGUCAAGUACAACAGGUGAAGUAUCAGGUACAAGUAUCAGGGUUAGAGGUAAACAAAAUAACCCACGUUUUCUCCACAGCUCUAACCUUUCUCCCACAGCUCUAACCAUUCACCCACAGCUCUAACCUUUCCUCCAAAACUCUCUUUCAUGCCACCAUUUUUUGUUUUUUUUCCCUGUCUCUAACACAGUCUUCCCAAGGAGUAUGAUGAGAUGAGGUCAGUUGUGUCAGCUGAGGUCAGGUGUUUAAGCAGAGGUAAAGUAAAAUCGGUAAAGUGUGAGGGCAAUGUGAAAGAAAAAUCUUACCCUUCACUUUAUUGCAAAACUGGAUGAUGUUGCAAGCCUGCCAUUAUGGCAGCUCUUUGACUCUGGAUGGCAUUGUUUUGGUAAAGUAUUGGGGUUACUUCAGGAACUUACUUGUUGAACUUAUAUGUUUUAUUUGGUGUGACCCCAAAAUGCUAACCUUUCUAGAUAUUAGUUGUUUUCCCAACAGCAGAUGUUUUUUUAAUUGAAGAUGAUGAAGUUGUUUGUGAGCUAAAAUCUUCACUGAGCUGAGGUGUUGGCUACACCUGCAGAGACAUGGGGUCAUGGAAAAUAUUUGGUAAUGUAUUGAUAAGAAGUAACUUAUUUUUGGAGGAUUAUGAACAAGUCUAAAAAAGUUCAUCGAUUUGGGGGAAAAAAACACACACAAAAAUCAGAUUUUGUGUCUCUCAUCAACCAAAUCUCUUUAUUAUCAAAACCAGCAGUCAAAAUUUUAGUAUUCUUUUUAAAUUAUGCAUGAACAACCAGCCAACCAACGAUGUAAAGUAACUUAGGAACCAUUCACUUUCUAUAGCAACAUUGUUCGCAAAAUCAAAACAAGCACAAAUCUGUCUUGUGGCUCCUCUUUGACGCAUCAAAAAGAUGUGUAAAUGCAUUGAUAUAAAUUUGUCUUAAUUACUCUAAAUUAUCCUCAGUUCAGCUGUGUCUUGUGGAAUGGUGAUCAACAACUGGACCUGUUUGGAUGAGCAACGUUGGAGAAGAAGGUUCAAAUAUCAGACAUUAGUCUGCUUGGUUAAGUAUAAACAACAUUAUAGAUCUAAAACUUUUCUACAAAAAAAAAGUUCAACCUGCAAACUUAGCAAAAUUUAGUUUAAGUUUUAGAAUCAGCAAUUUAAGUUUUCGCAGAUUUUGUAAAAAAAAAAAUUCUUGCCUAUUCUUAGUUAAUAGCAAUAAACACACCAUCCUACAACCCACUUUAUCAAGUUUUUAAGGAAAGUUUUUAAAAAGACAAUAAAGAAAACCUCAUGCUUAAAGGAAAACUGCUUAAACUAAAGAAAUUUGGAGGAUGAUGAUUAAAUCUUGUACCAUUCAAUCGAUAACUUUGAAAGAAAAAAUCCAUUCAUGAAUCUUUCAAACUUAUCUCCAAAUUAAUGUUAAAGAUAGUUAUAAACCAUGCAGCUGUCAAAUACUCUAUAGUAUCAUUUGAGACAACCAACAACAAACAACAAUCAUUCUACAACAACCAACUAACAAUGGAGAUAAAACAGCUGAGACUCGGUUAACUUGCUUUAACAGUGUUUGUAAAAUCCAAACAAACUGAUCAAAAUCCUUUCUGAAACAAUGGAAGUAGUUUUUUUUUUUCAAUUAUACCAAAAAUACGUGUACAUGCCUAAAGAUAAAUUUGUCUGUGCCUAAAAAAUUUCCCCUCAGCUCACCUGUAUCUUGUGGAGUGUGACGACUAUACGACUGGACCUGUUUGGAUGAGCAUUGUUGGAGGAUACAGGGAGUGGUGACUACAACUGGACCUGUUUGGAUGAACAUCGGAUGAUAUAGCUGUCUCUUGUGGAGUGGUGACUCACGUUGCCCUAUAGUGGAUAGGCAUCAUUAGAGGCUACAAGGAGAUGUUAGGAGAUGUGAAUACCAGACCUGUUUGAACAGGUGCAAAAAGUAAACUGGACCACGUGAUGAUAUUGGAGAAGACAUACGCCAAGAGACUAAACAACGCUUUUUGGACUGUGUAACACCAGCUGAAGGACUGAGCUAGUCUAGCCAGAUGACUCUCUGUAGUAAAGUACAACUCAACUGUUCAAGUGACGUAGUGAUGCUGAGCCUAAAUAACUUUGCUUUUUGGAACUUAUGUCACCUACUGAUGGAAAACUGUGCCAAGUUUAGCCAGAUGACUCUCAGCUCCAAGUCCAACCGUUGAAGUGAUUAUGCAGGGAUGUUGAGGUUAAAGACCAAUGCUUCUUGAACUGUGUGCCACCAGCUGAGUGGACUUCAUCAAGUCUAAUUGGAUGAUUUCAACUGCUUGUGUUGCAGGGAUAUUGAGUUCAUCCAACGCUUUUUGAACUGUGCCACCACCUGAGAUCGAGACUAGCUCUUUUCAGAGCUUAUCACUACCAGUUCAAAUGUGACGUAGUGAUGAUGAUGCUACAUUUUAUAACAACGCUUGUUUUACUGUCACCAACUGAACAAAUCCAGCCGAUAUGAGUCGCCAUAUUUUCAACUGAAACAAGACACUCAUUGAGG